UAAAUGUAUGGGGAUCUGCCCGAUAGAGGGGAAUAACUACUGGAAACGGUGGCUAAUACCGCAUAAUGUCUACGGACCAAAGCAGGGGCUCUUCGGACCUUGCACUAUCGGAUGAACCCAUAUGGGAUUAGCUAGUAGGUGGGGUAAAGGCUCACCUAGGCGACGAUCUCUAGCUGGUCUGAGAGGAUGAUCAGCCACACUGGGACUGAGACACGGCCCAG
rnacentral:rRNA from 1 species